GCUUAACACAUGCAAGUUGAACGAGGAUUAUUUCAAUGAAGCUUCGGUAGAUUUGAUUUAAUCCUAGUGGCGGACGGGUGAGUAACGCGUGGGUAACCUGCCUUAUACAGGGGGAUAACAGUCAGAAAUGGCUGCUAAUACCGCAUAAGCGCACAGGGCCGCAUGGCCCGGUGUGAAAAACUGGGGUGGUAUAAGAUGGACCCGCGUUGGAUUAGCCAGUUGGCAGGGUAACGGCCUACCAAAGCGACGAUCCAUAGCCGGCCUGAGAGGGUGAACGGCCACAUUGGGACUGAGACACGGCCCAGACUCCUACGGGAGGCAGCAGUGGGGAAUAUUGCACAAUGGGGGAAACCCUGAUGCAGCGACGCCGCGUGAAGGAAGAAGUAUCUCGGUAUGUAAACUUCUAUCAGCAGGGAAGAAAAUGACGGUACCUGACUAAGAAGCCCCGGCUAACUACGUGCCAGCAGCCGCGGUAAUACGUAGGGGGCAAGCGUUAUCCGGAUUUACUGGGUGUAAAGGGAGCGUAGACGGCAUAACAAGUCUGAUGUGAAAGGCUGGGGCUUAACCCCGGGACUGCAUUGGAAACUGUUAAGCUUGAGUGCCGGAGGGGUAAGCGGAAUUCCUAGUGUAGCGGUGAAAUGCGUAGAUAUUAGGAGGAACACCAGUGGCGAAGGC
rnacentral:rRNA from 1 species